AGGAGAGUGGCUCAACGGUAGAGCAUCGGUCUCCAAAACCGACGGUUGCGUGUUCGAAUCGCGUCUCUCCUGCCA
rnacentral:tRNA from 1 species